CAGCACUGCUAACCAGCUUCAGAAUUCCAUUGGCAGCCUGCCAAGAUUCUGAGCAGUUAGCCCCUCCCAACUGAUUGACCAAACCUACUCCCAACUGGUUUCAAACUUCCCUGCGGGCUACAACUGACAACCUGGACAUAAAUAGAUGAGGUCUGACAAAAAGGCAUCAAUAAAUUUGGACAAUGCAGUAGUACCUAGGAAAGAAGACAAAAGUAGAAUGACUUGGGCAAUCAGAACAUUGCAGCCACAAUGGGAUCAUCUUCAAAGGAAGGAGGAUUUAUCCUGAAUCUCUCAAUAUCUUGUGGAAUGAAAGAUAUUUGAUGCCUAAUGGUCCCAACAUCUCCACUAUUAAGACUACUAAAGACCUGACUUAAGGAUAAUAAAAAGUGAAGAAAAUUGAAGAAAAUUGAGGAUAUUCAUCAAACCUUUGUGGUCUACCAAAUGUAAUAAUUAAAAUUGGUUGCCAAAUAUAAACUUAAAAAUUUGGUUUGACAAAAAUAAUAAUAAAAAAGAAUUUUGGUCACCAUAUAUAAAAUUCAA